GUCAAAGUUUCUUUCAGCAUCUUUUGUUCUCAAAAAUAAUCAAGGCAAAGAGACACAUUUUGGGCUAGCCAAUUCUGAUCCCCCGCAAUACCAUGGCUGCUUUGCAGGCCAGGCAGGAAUAUUGCGUUGGAGGGAGUAACCCAAAUAUUAAAGUAUGAUGUCCAUGCUAUGUGUAUUGGUACUGCAUUAAGAGGCUACCAAUUCUUAGUAAAAUCAGCUUCUCCCCCUUUGCCUCCCCUUAUUUAAAUCUCUGCGGUAUUAGGCAGAUCAAGAUGACCAGUAAGAAUACACCGUUAAUUUUGCAACUGAGGUUAAGUGAAAAUAAGUGUGGUAAAGAAAUAAAGCUUUAGAACAACAGGUCUUUGGGGUGAUCUAGAAACAUAUUUGAAAUGAACUAAUUAAAUAUUAACCUUAUCUGAGGAUGUUAACCUAAAAAUAUGGAAGAAACGUUCAUAAAAAUUCAGUGAUCUGAAUUCUUAAUUUGCAAAAUUAAAUGUCAUGUUCAAUUUUGUUUUUUACACAAACAUGAAUAUUGACAUUAUCCGUAACAGCAGAAAGAACUGGCAAUCAUACAGUGCUUCGAGGCUUGUGUGACAUGGCAGAAUUUCAGUUUCCGUUAAGUAAACAACAAAUGACUUUAAAAAUUAAACACAGAGCUGAAUUUUUCAUCAAGAACUGAUUUACUAAGUGCCUGCACCGUUUCUUCCUAGAAUGUACAGAAAGUGACCCCUUGUGGAAUUCUGACGAAGUCUUUCUCCAGUGUUUUUCGAUUGCUGUCUAGAUGCUUCGGGUCUGCUGUGUGCAUCAUGCUCAGCUGUGGGGACAAAGACAUGACUGGAAAGUGGGGUUUGGUAUGGCUGAGAGGCAAACAGCUAUAGAAAAGACUGAGCAGAGCUGUGAGAGGGAAAGUUGGAAGUGGUGUAUCUGGCAAGGGGCUGGGGGAGAGAUGGCUGGGCGGCUGCACAGGGGAGGGUAGAAGUGGAGACGAGAUCCAGAAAGAGAUUCUGGAGCAGUAUGGCACCUUCUGGAAACUGUCGGUGGUUUCCUUUGGCGAGGCAGAGCACUUACAGGCGAGAGUGGAUAAGGUGGAAAAGUAGGCAAGGACCCUUAUCCUACUCGACAGUGUCCCCAAACUGUGUUCCUCAGAUAUUAACAGAGUCGCACAAAUACUGCACAAAACCACACUGAGAAUAUCAGGAUGAAUGGGGCCUUGCGCAGGCAUGGGAGACUCCUUAAAAUGGGCCUCUUCAAUCCGCAGACCUCAGAAAGACCAGGUCAGGGAGAAUAGAGGAUGAGUCGAGUCAGGAAGUAAACAUACUUCCUAGGCAUGAGAGGAGUGGAGAUCGUGCAGCUGGCCCAGAUGCUGCGAAUAUGGACAGAGGGAGGUGCCAGUGGGACGAAAAAAGGUCCUAGUUAACACUACCAGCUGCUGGGAGGCAGCCUGUGCAGGUGAGAUCCUACAAAUGCCCACAGGGCCUGGGUAGCAGUUACCUUUAAAUAACAUCACUUGAGCAGCACCAGGAUCAUUACCGUUUACUGAGUCAUUUAUACAUGCCGGGAACUGUGCUUUUUCUGUGUUAUUUUAAUCCUCACAAUAAGCCCACUGUGUAUAUUUAUUAUUAGUCUCAUGUGCAGAUGAGGAAACAGCCUUGCAGAGGUUAACUGGUCUGCCCCAAGUCCAUCAGCUAGCCAGCGAGUGGCUGCUCCAUGCUGCUCUGGUCCAGUGGGCCUGGAAGCCAGCACCGUGGAGUCAUCAGAAAGCAGAGGGUGGUUAGAGCCAGGAUAGCAAAUGAGUUCCUGGAGGGGGGUUGCGAGAGGGGGGAGGGAGAGGGCCCAGGCGGAAGCCCAGAGGAUGCCAACGUCUGAGGGACGGUAGAGGAGGAGGGGAAAGCAGAGAGGGAGAGGGAGGGAGGGGUCAAAAAGGCAGAAAGAUAACCAAGAGAGAGCCAUAUCCCGGAAGGGAGAGAGAGCGAGCCAGCGCCUCCCCAGAAGCGGGUAGAAUUCAACGACGACGUCAGACACUGCGGAGAAAUCAAGUGUGGAAAGUCUAAGAGUUGAUCACGAUCACGAGGGUUGGCAGUUGGGAGGCCACUGAUUAUCUGAGAGAGAAACCUUAGUGGAAAGGAGGGCAAACCCUUCACUGAAGGAGCUGAGGAACGCAGGGAAGAGGCAGCAGCGAGGUAGGCAGCGCGAGAAGGGCGUGAAACCUGCUUCUCAGAGAGCCCGGCUGAAAGGAGCGGGACACCAGAGAGGAUGCCAGUGAAGAAGGGGCCUUCGCCCUGAGUACUGAAGAUGUAUUCUAUGAAGGGUUCUAUGUUGGGCAGAAGCGGGCACGGAAAAUAAGAGGUGGAAGGUAAAGUGGAAAGGAUAAGUGACAGUGAGGAGAGAAAGGGAUCCGGAGCACAGAAGAGAAGGGCCGAGAAGAGAGGCAGAGGAAAGGAGGGGAGGAGGGGAGGCACGCUCCUGGGUCUGUCCUCAGCAGAGGACGAGGGGUGAAGCCCAGCGCCUGCCUUGUCCCUCUGAGUAGAAAUCGGGGACAGCGGCUCCGAGUCAGAGGACAGAAGAGAAGGAGGCUCGAGGAGAAGCCUUCUGACAACUGCUGUUGGGUACGGCGGUGGCAGACGACCUGAGACCAGCACACAGACAGCAAGGCAGCAGAGGGGGGCCGGCUGAUGCGGAGACCGUGGGUGUGCAGUGGCACACGUCAGCCUGGCGGAGACCGUGGGUGUGCAGUGGCACACGUCAGCACGGCCAUGCACCUGACUUUCCAGGGCUUGGGCACAGGAGCAGAGGACGCAGAUCACAGGAACUAGAGAGGAGCCAAACCGCUGUUUGCAAAUCAGUCGUUUCCUAUUUUUCUGCCAUAUCUGAGAAGAAACUGACGAUGCUGCCAAGAUUUUUGAAAAAGGGAAGUGAAGCCUGGAGAUGGGGGGUGGGGACAGUGUCCCGUAGACUGACAGAAAAGGGAGAAAUUGCCAGUCCGAAGAUCUUGAUGCUGGGUAAAAGGUGGAGAAACUGAGGCUCAGAGACAGCAGCUAACUUGCGCAGUGUCAGGCAGCUGGUGGAUCCGCCCCACAGCUUGUUCAACAAUCACAAGGCCGGGAUUGAGAGGCUGAGGGUUGAGUAAUGAAAGGAUGGGGGCAGCGGACUCAGGAGGGAGCUGUUCUCCUAGACUGGGUUGGAGGGUCGGUGAGAUGGCGAGCUGGAUGGAGACGGUCUGACACAUGAGUGAUGGUUACUGCACCAUGGUGGCUUGGAGUGGGGAUAAAGAUACCAGCCGAAGGAGGAAACUGCAUAUACAGAGCAAGAGUGCUGAGGACGGAGAGUGAAAUAGCCAGAUUGCAUGACAUUGGUAACAUUUUGGUACAGGGCUGGGUGAGGCUGACUAUGUGAUUUGUAGGGCCCAGUGAAAAUGAAAAUGUGGGGGCCUUCGUUCAAAUAUACUGCUGUUAAAGGUACUAAAAUAUAAAAAGACUUUCCUUUUUUCUACGGCC